UGACAGUGAUGAACACUAUCCCGAAACUGAUCUUUUGAUGAGACAAACUUAACGGAUCUGAUUGCUGAGUU
ensembl:snoRNA